CCUACGGGUGGCAGCAGUGAGGAAUAUUGGUCAAUGGGCGAGAGCCUGACCCAGCCAAGUCGCGUGAGGGAGUACUGCCCUAUGGGUUGUAACCCUCUUUUGUCGGGGAGCAAAAGCCGGACGUGUCCGGCUGUGAGAGUACCCGAAGAAAAAGCAUCGGCUAACUACGUGCCAGCAGCCGCGGUAAUACGUAGGGGGCAAGCGUUAUCCGGAUUUACUGGGUGUAAAGGGAGCGUAGACGGCAGAGCAGGUCUGGAGUGAAAUCCCAUGGCUUAACCAUGGAACUGCUUUGGAAACUGUGGAACUGGAGUGCAGGAGAGGUAAGCGGAAUUCCUAGUGUAGCGGUGAAAGGCGUAGAUAUUAGGAGGAACACCAGUGGCGAAGGCGGAUAACUGGACUGUAACUGACGUUGAGGCGCGAAAGCGUGGGGAGCAAACAGGAUUAGAUACCCCAGUAGUC
rnacentral:rRNA from 1 species